rnacentral:lncRNA from 1 species
AGGCAUGCGGGUUUAUUGUUAGAAUUAAUUAAUGGACUAUUAAUAAGAAAUGUAGAUAAUGUAUGCUGCAGAGCUUUGAAAAUCCUGAAACACACCCUAAGGGUUAUGGAAUUUACAUCUUUCAUAGCUUCUAUUAUUUCUUCACUAGUUUGCAGCUAUGCUCACACCUGGAAGGUGACAAAAGGUGGAGUUUACUUUCUCGCCCGUGUCAGCAGUCAUACGGUGGAAUCCAUGAAAAUUGGAUUUCCUUUUUCUGGUGCGUUUUACUCUUGAACUGUAUAACUGUGGAUAACUUUAAUACUGCCCAUUCUUUGUUUUCAGUUAUAUAAUUUCUAUUAGCCUUAAAAGUAACCGAUAUAUUUCUUUUUUAAGGUUUCAGUAUAAAACAUAAUCUGCAUCUUCAUUAUGAAACUCAUAUGCAAUUUUCUUCUAUCUCUAGAAGUUUAGAUUGAGGUUUAAAAGAACCAUUUUCAUUAUCAAGCUUCCCCAUAGUUUCCCACUUUCUUAUUCCAAAUAUUUUUAAAAAUCACUCCAAAUAUCAGAGCUUUUAGCAAUAUAAAGAAAGAUUUAUUUUCAAAAGUAGCAAAACUUGUUUGAAAAAAAUAUAUAUCUUUAAGUGAAUUACUUUAUAAAUGUGACUGUCAAAGUCAGCUAUCCUAUGAUCUACAUUUUACAACAUAUUGUACAAAAGAUACAUUGAUAGGCUCUUAUCUAUUUAUAUAUUUAUAAUUACAUAUUGCACUUGGACCAGCAAGGCUUGCAGAGUCAUUCACGGUAGAAGUUAAUAAAGUUAAAUAGAUGGGAAUCUUUGUAAGUACAAUUGAUCUCCUCUGGUUUGGAAACGAAUCUCCUCGUCGUUGUAAAGUGUUCUCGCGGGGUGGGACAGAGAGAGGAGCAUUGCGAGGGGGAAGCAGAGACAGAGAGCACUGAGGGCAGGGGUCGCCUUCCCGGGGCCCGCUCCCCCCGGGAGCGCGCCUUUCCCAGACUCGCACCUCCAAGGUCAGGACGCGGUGGUUCCACAUAAGCGGCUCGCGGUCACCACUUCUUUCAGGUCACUCUCGGGUUUCCCGGCCACCAUAAAGGGCCACGUCUGCGGGAAAGAAGAGGGUGGAGGAGAGUUGUGAGAAGGAACCCCGAGGACUUCUGCAGCAGAGGAACCGGCUCUCUGUUUCCCCACUCCCAGAGUCGUGGCCGUAGAGGAGGAAAACACGAAUUAAAAUACAGGGAGUAUCAACCGCAUCCUGCCAACACCUCAUAAGACUCCAAGGCUUUACCGAGAUCUUCCACCUUCCCCGGGAUAAAUGAAGACAAGUGCUUCCUAGAAUCUUUAUGGUGAUGGAAAAGUGGAGAUUUAAAUGACCACAUCCACCCUAAGAUUUAUUGUGAGAAUGAUUGAUGUUAUAAACCAGGAAAAGGACUCUUCCCACAGCAGGGAUGACAGAAAUAUCAAGUUGAAGUUGCCUUUGUCUUCACAUACGAAUGACCCAGUACUACAACACAGAAAGUAUAAUAAUUUAAUCUGAGGUUCAAGACAGCAGUGAGAGAACACCCAGCAGGCCUGUUAAAAAUUUCUUCACUAAUUCCUCAACUAGUUUCCUUUGAUUUGCUCUCCCUUUUCUCAGUCUUGGUAAAACAUGAAAGUUAAAGUUAUUUUUAGACUAAAGAGCUAUGUGAAAAUGGGCAUUGGCCAAUACUUUGUGAAAUGUGUGUGUGUGUGUGUGUGUGUGUGUGUAGCUACUAAGAUAUCUGCAAAAUAACUACAAAUAAUUAAUUUGGGCUCUGGAAUGUGAUAAUUAUUAUAAAUCCAAACUAUGGCCUUACUGCAUACAUUAAGCUGUGAUUUUUCUUGUUGGAGCCAUUUUUUUUUCUUUUUGGCUCUGGGUCUCUGUUACACCUUAGUUAAUGGACUGCUCAGGCUGUCUGGGGAGAUAGUAAAAAUCAUAGUAAUAUGUACCACUGAAAAGAUUUCUGUUGUCUGUAUAUUUUUCAAUGUUGGAAACUUAAAAGUACCAAUUUCUGGAAGCAUGUAAAACUAGCCUCAUGUCAUAGGCUGGUUUUUAUGCUUAGCAAUUAUUUUUCUUCAUAGCCAUAUAAGAAAUAAUUAAGUCCCAUGUCCAUUUAUCUUGCAGUAAGACAUUUGGGCUGAGAAAGGCUAGUGGGCUGAUAAUAAAUUUUGGAGUGUUUCUAAAAUUCUGUAAAAGAUGGCUUCCAGUUUGGGAGUAAGAGUCGAAGAAUACUGUUGCUUAUGUAUCUUGAUAUGAAGUCUUGGAGAGAGAAUAUUCAUAUGAAAAAUACUUUUUUUCUUUUAAAAUUUUGUGUCUAUCCCUGCUAAUAAACACUUAGGGACAAAUGGGUGGGAGAAAUGACUUCUUGUUGGAUUCUACUGAGCAAGUCAUUUAAGCUGUAACUUAAGCUGUGCCAAAUUCUCCCAAAAUAUAAACUAUAUUCUGUGAGAAGACAAGCACUUUUGAGAAGCUGUAUUAACCCUUUUGGUAAGUUGACCAUUUCUGUUCCAAAGCACGAAAUAGAAAACUCGUGAUUUGAAAGUAUGAGAUCAUUUCUAAAAGUUCUUACCUGACUUUUAAGAAACAUUUAUGCCCCAGAGGCAUCUGGCCAAUUUGCUGCUCACUUCUAACAAUUUGUUUUGCAAGAGAGACUAUCUUUGAAAGAUUUUAGUGCUAAGGAAAUUUUAUCUCUGAAAGCUGUAAAAUGAAGAUUAGGCAUGGAAUGUACCCUUGAACUUAAAUCCUGGUUUAUCAGCUGAUACAUUUACAGGAAGUUCAAAUUUGAUUCAGUUGCACUUGGAUGGAAUAAUUUGCUUCCUUUUUUAUGAGAAGGAAAACAUCAUAGGCUUCCUUUGAACUGACUUCAUAUGCCAUUACAUAAUCUUUCUCAGGGGAAAAAUAUGCCUUUAAAUUUAAAUGUUAAUCCUUUUCUCUUACUCCUCAUCAUUUGGUCAGGAGACACAGGCUGGCAAAUUGGCAAAACUGCCCAUUCUCUUUUUUCUUCAUUUCUAAUUAGCACCUCCAGAUGUUUUAUUCAUUUUAUUUGAUGGUAACUACCACCACUUCAAAUAUUUGCCAACUUUCUAUGCAAAAAAAAGUUGACGCCUUUUUUUUUUCUUUUUUUGAUGGAGUCUUGCUCUGUCACCCAAGCUGGAGUGCAUCAGCACGAUCUAGGCUAACUGCAACCUCCGCCUCCCAGGUUCAAGAGAUUCUCAUGCCUCAGCCUCCCGAGUAGCUAGAAUUACAGGUGCCUGCCACCAUGCCUAUCUAAUUUUUGUAUUUUUAGUAGAGGUGGGGUUUCACCAUUUUGGCCAGGCUGGUUUCAAACUCCUGAUCUACCCACUUCAGACUCCCAAAGUGCUGGGAUUACAGGCAUGAGCCACCGUGCCCAGCCAGGUGCCUCUUUUUUGAUUUUACAUAAUUAUCUCCAUAUACUUUGUUUGCUGCUGAUUGACUGUUGUCUAUCUCCCGCUUAUAUGCCUAUCAAACUCUGACUUUGUUUCAUUAAAUUUUAACUUUAUUUAAUAAAGUGAGCAUUACCUCUCUUUGCUCAUUCUAAAUUAUAGUGGUGCUGUCCUGUUAUAUUUUGGCAGCCAAAGUGAAUAUGGCACUAGUGAGCUUGGUGGCUAGCUAAGAAGGUCAAUAACAGUGAUGCUGGGUAUUGCUGCUACCUUUACCUGGCACCAGCUGGGAGAUGGUAUAAAUCCUGGAUGGUAUAAAUCCAUUCAGUAAUUAGAAGUCUUCUGCGUGUUCACUAUACCUUAACCCCCUCUUUUCACAUUUAAUUCAGUGAAUUGUAGAUAAGAUGCCACAUUGCUAAGAUUUAAAGGUGGCAAAUAACAACAAUAAAGUCUAGGGAAAGAUUCUGCAUGGUUCUUUGAAUCCAGGAGUUAAUCUUGCAUUUCACAUGUUCCACAAUACAGCUUUGAAAGCAGCCAAGCCUAUGCACUUGAAAGUCAGAAUUUACCCUAAGGUGUAAGUGGGCCAGAGAAAACUCGGGCAGACAAAGAGAGUUAAAAAUUUUGCAAAGCCAGUUUAAUGUCCUCCUAAGUUUUCUAAUACUAGAAUAAUUUUAUUAGACCCUGUCAGUGUUAGGAAAGAGAGAGAAAAGGACUGAGCGACUCCUGAGUCAGGUACCAUGCAGGGACUUUUGCCUCCAUUCUCUCAUUUCAUGUAUUUUCUCUCCUUUCUGUUGGCACUACUAAAGAAAGAGCUGCCACAUGAAAUGAACAGUGUAUUAGAAAUGUAUGCCAGAGGCUUUCCCCUGUAAUAAAGUUUUAGAAAAACUG